UGCGGCCCCCCAGGUGCAGGUGUGGGCCCAGCGCAGUGACCCGUAGCAGCGAUUACUCAAACUCUGUGCGCUGGCGGGAGGCACGCUGCCCGGCACGGCACGGCGCCUUCAAAGAGAGUUUGUUUUGGUUUAAUGUUCCCAAAGAGAAAAUAAUCUGAACCUCCAAAGACGUGCGUCAAGUGAGAUGAUGUGGCUUUCACCACUACGGAGGCGUGCAUCCAGGGUGCGCAUACGGAGCUGUCACCAUCAUGCUUCUCAGGCUCAGCGUGAUUCCCGUGGCGCCUGCGGCUGCAUCACAGUCCCUCUCCUGGGCCGUGGCCUGCACUUCGUCCCCACGCCAACCCGUCUCCAGUUCUGCUGCCUCCUAAGGGUCUCCAUCGACCAGGGCUGCCAUCCCCGAUACCACAGGCCGGUCACCUUAAUUGGCCCACAGUUUGGAGGUGCGGUGGUUUGGAGCCCUGUACCCAGAAAAACAU
rnacentral:lncRNA from 1 species